UUCUCUUUCUUUCAAUUAUUUUUACUCUUACAAAAUCGGCAAUGUUUAUUUUUCAUGUUUCUUUUUCGUUUUUCUUUCCAAAAACACCUCGUAAAACUGAUCACUCGGAUCUCACUGCUAACGACACUGCUAUGGCCAAGUAUGACUUCGAAAUCCUAUCUAUCAAGCCGAAGAAGAGGUUGAGGAAGAUUGUGAAUUGCCUGAGGAGUUAGACAGGUUGUUGAAACAGGAGGACCGAGCUAUCACACCUUAUCAAGAGGUGGUUG
rnacentral:lncRNA from 1 species